CGCCGUGUUGAAUGGACCGCAGGCAAAACGUGCAGUAGAUGUGACCACACAGCAGCACCCGAGGGAGGUUGCAGUCAGCUUCAGCCUCUGGAGAAGUAACGGCUCAAUGAAGACAAGUACGAUGACUUCAUCAACUGGAAUCUCCAAGUUCGAGAACCGCUGUCAGCCUCCACAGCAGACCUGGCGGCAGCAUGUGGUCGCGUCCUCCAUGUGAGCGCCGCCGCCUGAGGACCGCGUCCAGCCAGCGAGGCGGCGGUAACCCGCGGUGACGGCUGAUGGCGGGCAGCGAAGCGCAGGCUUCACACGGCAAAGGUAGACGGCCUGGUCCACAACACGCCCAGAAUUGGACACAAGUUUUACCAGCACAAUGAAUCCAGCCCCUAACACUGAUGUGAGGUGUGAGAAGACCUCCAGCUGUGAAGUAGAGCUGGACAUCAGCACAAAGAACCACACAAGAAGAUGAUGCAAUACAAAUUAAAUGCACAAAGUUCACAGCCUGAAUUCAGCUGCAGUUACGAAUGAAUCUGAUCAGUGAAGGAAUCUGGACGUGGGUCUUUAUCAGGGCAGGGUGAUCAUAGACCGGCUGCAGGGGGGAGGGUGUGUGUGCAUGUGUGUGCACAUGGGUGGGGGGUCGCAGACGUGUUUACUGUAGGUAAUGAACCAAUCAGAGAGAUGCUUGGGGAGCGGGCUGUUGGAGGAAUGGGGGUUACCCCCAUCUUUCCUCUGCGGAAAUGUGGGUCACUUCCCAUCCUCGGGUGAUUUCCCCUGUGUUUGUGUAGGAACAAUAACCCCCGCCCCCUAAAACCAUUAUCACAUCACUUACUCAUUACUGAAGCUCCUAAUUAAACUGUGUGGUCUCAUUAGCUCUCCCCUGAUGUCUCACAUAAGCCCAGAACAACCAUCCAACUGCUUCAUUGUUAUUAUCCAGCUAUUUCCUCAACAAUUUAUUGUGGGUCAUGUCGUGUGAAGGGAGGUGGUGUUCAGAGGAAGCCGCCUGUUUGUGUGUGCACCUCAUGGACCCCCUGCUGCUCCCGUAGGGCUCAGAAGAGAAAUAUAGCAAACCAGGAAUGGUUUAAUUGGAUUGACAGCCCUCCAGAAGACAAAUGUGUCCUGGGAGCCGUCAGAUGAGCGUUUAAGGUGCGUGAAGGAAGAGAUGCUAGAAUAAAUGUCCCCCGUGUUAGUAAAACGAACAGCGUCUUCCCUCCUGAGUGUCUGACAAAACAAACAAAGAAAGGUCAGCAGACACAAAGCCAGGACACUCAGGGAUGGGCUCUGAGUGGUUGCCCCCCGCAGGCCACGUGGUCACAGCAUGAAAAGAGCAUGGCCGAUGGUACGUGACAGUUGCUUAAUGCCGUCCAUAACCUUUUGUCUGGUCAAAGAAAGACCUACGGAGCUAUUUUGCGGAGGAUUCUCCUCCAACAGCAAGACGACCGCUCACACCUACAACACAAAAGCGCAGCAAAUCUGUGCAACUCUCUCUUGAUGCUUAAAAACCCUACACAUUCUGCCCGUUCUGCUUUACUGAACGCUUCUAAAGGUGACUUUGCUUCGUGGAUCUGCCAGAGAACAGUGGUCCCGAUUAGAUCCAGGUCAGCUGACACAAACACACACGUGACUGCUCUUUUUCACGUGAACUGACCGCAUCAAUACACACGAUGCAGAUGAUGGUGAUACUGGGGCUGCGGGAUGUUCCCCAUCAUGCCCACAGGUCUCAGGUUGAGUCAAUGCUGCCUUGACCAUUGGUUUUUAAGGUUUGGGUCCUUUUCAGUGAUGAAGUGAAUCCUGUUUAGUCUCAGGUUGUGUGUUUGCUACACUCUAUAUCAUUUUAAUCAUUUUAUAUGGAUCCAUACUGUACCGAUGGCACUUUACUCUAAGAUUCUUAAUUCUCCUUUACAACGUAGGACAGAUACAUGUGAUGUGUGCAUGAAAUGUACUGAUUCCAGCUUUAGUUCAUCUGUAAUAAGCUCGACUUGGACCAGCGAAGCUCUACCGCCAGUGAGAAUCAUGGCUGCAUCGAUGAUCCCUCACUGGCUUCCCACCAACAUAUACAUAUCCCGCUUGAUCCGUCCAGAUUAAAAUGUCUCUGCCUGUU